GAGUUUGAUCAUGGCUCAGAACGAACGCUGGCGGCAGGCUUAACACAUGCAAGUCGAACGCCCCGCAAGGGGAGUGGCAGACGGGUGAGUAACACGUGGGAACGUGCCCUAAGGUUUGGAAUAUUCCCGGGAAACUGGGAGCAAUACCAAAUGUGUCCGCAAGGAGAAAGAUUUAUCGCCUUAGGAUCGGCCCGCGUCAGAUUAGGUAGUUGGUGGGGUAAUGGCCUACCAAGCCGACGAUCUGUAGCUGGUCUGAGAGGACGACCAGCCACACUGGGACUGAGACACGGCCCAGACUCCUACGGGAGGCAGCAGUGGGGAAUCUUGGACAAUGGGCGAAAGCCUGAUCCAGCCAUGCCGCGUGGAUGACGAAGGCCCUAGGGUUGUAAAAUCCUUUCGUUGGGGACGAUAAUGACGGUACCCAAAGAAGAAGCUCCGGCUAACUUCGUGCCAGCAGCCGCGGUAA
rnacentral:rRNA from 1 species